UACGUAGGGUGCGAGCGUUAAUCGGAAUUACUGGGCGUAAAGCGUGCGCAGGCGGUUCGUUAAGUCCGAUGUGAAAGCCCCGAGCUUAACUUGGGAAUGGCAUUGGAAACUGGCGGGCUGGAGUGUGGCAGAGGGGGGUGGAAUUCCACGUGUAGCAGUGAAAUGCGUAGAGAUGUGGAGGAACACCGAUGGCGAAGGCAGCCCCCUGGGCCAACACUGACGCUGAGAAGCGAAAGCAUGGGGAGCGAACAGG
rnacentral:rRNA from 1 species